CUCAGGGGUUGGGAGGUGUCGUGGGAGUGUAGUUGGUCUGUUUGUUGCAAGUGCAUCGUCCACGCCCGGCCUUGGAAGUACCCAAAAAACCCAGAAAACCAUGGAAAUAAUCAGCAGCAAUUAUAAUUGCAACCAAAGAUAUCGAUAAGAAGGUCAGUAAAUUCUGAGGCCUGAAGUUGAAAUAUGGAAGGAGACAGAAAAUUGUCAGGAAACGGAAUGAGAAGAAACGGAAUGAGAAGUGGGGAUCAGCAUUCCAACUACCUGUGUUAGUAGGCCAGGCUGGAUCUGAAGCGGCUGAGCUCCUGGAGCCUGCGUAACGAUUGGAAGAGCAUUCUCCAUCCGGACUGAGUACCCAGCAUGCUUGGUGGGGGAGGCCUGCAAUCCUAUUGGUAUCAACCAGAAUGCAUUCAAAAGAAUCCACCAAUGGAAUUAUCUUCCUUACGUCUACCUUGUCAAAACACAUCACCAUUUUAUCAGCCUUCUUUCAGGUCAUCCUUUGGUAUGCUCCAGAGAUGAAAGAGCCUCGUCUUUUCAGCUCCCCUUCUCCCAUGGUGUCAACACAACAGGUCAAGCAUCAGUCUUUGGACCUCUCUACUCUCCUCAGUACAGCUACUCACUAAAAGGGCUAAGCAUUCUUACAUGUGGGAAGGUGUCACAGAAGCAAUGUUACAGGAAGCUGCUUUCAGAACAAUAGGACAUGGUGUCACAUGCACUGAGUUUAUAAAGUCAUCUCCCUCCCCUAGACCAACAUCUCCAGUACUGAGUUACACUCAGUCAUCUAUAUUGGGCAGGCCACGUCCUUCAUAUGCCCAACACCAGACUUUCAAAGCAGACACUCUAUUCUGUCACACGAAGGGAUUACCAGGCAGACAGACAAAAAGAUUCAAGGAUGUGCCUAAAGCCUCCUAAAAGAAAUGCAAUAUCAUCACUGCCUCUUAGGAAGCUCUAGCCCAUGACCACUCAAAGUGAAGAAGGCGUAUUUGGGAUGGGAUUGAGAGCCUCAAAAGGCCAUGCACUGGGAGCACACAGAAACUGUGUAAGCAGCAGAAGAAGCACACCACCUCACAAAUUACCCAACCACCUGCCCUAAGCCUCCACAUGCCUCACCUCACAAUGU